UACAGAGGGUGCGAGCGUUGUCCGGAAUCACUGGGCGUAAAGGGCGCGUAGGCGGUUCGUUAAGUCCUGUGUGAAAUCCCCCGGCUCAACUGGGGAACUGCGCAGGAAACUAGCGGGCUUGAGUUCGGGAGAGGGAAGCGGAAUUCCGGGUGUAGCGGUGAAAUGCGUAGAUAUCCGGAGGAACACCGGUGGCGAAGGCGGCUUCCUGGACCGACACUGACGCUGAGGCGCGAAAGCUAGGGGAGCAAACGGG
rnacentral:rRNA from 1 species